AGAGCCUUCCUCUCAGCCAUAUCAGCACAAUCAGGCAGGGGAAAGCACCAGAAGGUCCUGCAUCCUCCUUCUUGUCCUCUGGGGCGUGUUUCCCAGCUGCUCAGGGCCUGCUGCUGUUCCCUAAAGAGCCGCCUCCAUGCCUUUUCCUGAAACAUCCGCAUUCCUUCUUCCACCUUCAAAAGAACUGCCCUGUCACGGCACACAGAUUUUGUCAACGAGGCACAAGCUAGAGUCAACUCGAAAGAGAACAUCACAACUGACAAAAGGCCUCCAUCAGGAUGAGCCUGGAACACCGAAGCCUGAUGUGAAUGAUAUGUCUGUUUGGGGGUUCUAGUUCAAUCAACUAUGAUUACCCAAUUGCUAGCACAUUUCAGUCUCUCCAACCAGGAAGCCAGCCUCUGAGAAGUCUCCCUGGAAGAUGACGGUCUUGCUUCCUAGCUCAUUCAACAAACUGAAGCCAUCCCCAGCCUCCGCCACCACACCCUCCAGCCUGCCUUCCCACUUUCCACUGAGAAUGAACUGUCACGUCCCAGCCAACACCGUCCCCACUCAUCCAUCCGUGCACAGCUGGCUCCCGCAGGCCUCUCCUUUCCCUGCAUAGCCAAUUAUUCCCUCAGCUCUGCUGCACUCUGCUGCAAAUGAA
ensembl:lincRNA Gm14635 predicted gene 14635